rnacentral:rRNA from 1 species
GACGAACGCUGGCGGCGUGCUUAACACAUGCAAGUCGAACGGAAAGGCCCUGCUUUUGUGGGGUGCUCGAGUGGCGAACGGGUGAGUAACACGUGAGUAACCUGCCCUUGACCUUGGGAUAACUUCAGGAAACUGGGGCUAAUCCCGGAUAGGAGCCCCUGCUGCAUGGUGGGGGUUGGAAAGUUUCGGCGGUUGGGGAUGGACUCGCGGCUUAUCAGCUUGUUGGUGGGGUAGUGGCUUACCAAGGCUUUGACGGGUAGCCGGCCUGAGAGGGUGACCGGCCACCUUGGGACUGAGAUACGGACCAGACUCCUACGGGAGGCAGCAGUGGGGAAUAUUGCACAAUGGGCGGAAGCCUGAUGCAGCAACGCCGCGUGCGGGAUGACGGCCUUCGGGUUGUAAACCGCUUUCGCCUGUGACGAAGCGUGAGUGACGGUAAUGGGUAAAGAAGCACCGGCUAACUACGUG